rnacentral:lncRNA from 1 species
CAGACGCCACGGCAACUGCCACUGCCUAGAAGCUGAGUGUUCAUAUUGAGAUCCAUUGAAGGCCCUCCCAGACUGACGAAGGCGUGACCUCAGGCCCACCGCAUCCAAGAACACGAAGCAUGAGGGACAGAAGAGGGCCCCUCGGCACCUGCCUGGCACAAGUGCAGCAGGCCGGAGGAGGUGACUCGGACAAACUAUCAUGCAGCCUUAAGAAAAGAAUGCCGGAGGGCCCUUGGCCUGCAGAUGCACCCUCCUGGAUGAAUAAGCCUGUGGUUGAUGGAAAUUCACAAAGUGAGGCAUUAUCACUGGAAAUGAGAAAGGAUCCGAGCGGGGCUGGCCUCUGGCUUCACAGUGGCAGCCCAGUGCUUCCAUAUGUGAGAGAAUCAGUAAGAAGAAAUCCAGCCUCAGCAGCCACUUCGAGCACAGCCGUGGGUUUGUUCCCUGCUCCAACAGAGUGUUUUGCUCGGGUGUCCUGCAGUGGUGUUGAAGCUCUGGGGCGGCGAGACUGGCUGGGAGGAGGGCCCAGGGCCACUGACGGCCACAGAGGACAGUGCCCCAAAGGAGAGCCUCGGGUGUCACGACUGCCACGCCAUCAAAAACUGCCGGAAAUGGGAAGUUUCCAGGAAGACCCACCAAGUGCUUUUCCCAAGGGUCUGGGCUCUGAGUUGGAACCCGCUUGCCUGCACUCUGUCCUGUCUGCAACACUGCACGUGUAUGCCGAAGUGCUCCUGAGUGAGGAGACAAAACGCAUUUUCCUUGACCGUUUAAAGCCCAUGUUUUCAAAGCAAACAAUAGAAUUCAAGAAAAUGCUUAAAAGCACCUCAGAUGGUGUGCAGAUAACACUGGGGUUACUGGCUCUGCAACCUUUUGAAUUAGCAAAUACAUUAUGCCAUAGUUAAGGUACAAGCAGAACAAUACCAAUAGAUUAAUUUUAAGAGUUGUCUUAGAAUGAUUUCUUUCGCAUUAAGUCUGGAUGCAAACUGUGCAGCCCUUAGGUUCCUGCUGUAGUUUUGUACGACCUGGCAGACUUAAAGUAAAUUGAGUUUAAAUUCAAAGCCGGUUGAUGCGGAAGGAACUUUUUUGGCAUGUGUUAAAUUGUGCUUUAAAAGACAUAUACAGAAUUGGGAAACAUUUCAGGAGAUGAUCAUAGCCUGUAUAAAUACCAGAUUAGAACAUACGGAUUUACCAUGAAGUUCUGUCUUCAACAUCCAUUCUAAAGGGCUACUGUCCCAAAUCCUGUGUGUCCUUUUGACUUGUCUGAUCACCCAAUGGAAGUGGAUACUUGUAAAGUCUACACCACUGUACCUGGUGUUAAAUCUUGCUGAAUUCGUGGUAAGCUGUUACCAUGUCUACAUUUUGUAGAAUGAUUUUGGUCGGCAGCAAAAUUCGAUUUCACUUCUCACACCCCUUUCCUUGCACUUGAAAUGCAGUUUAGACAGAGGCCCUGUGGUGAAAGUUGCAGUAUUAAGUUUACCUUUAGAAGAUCCCUUCUCAAACUCAGAACCCUAGCAGUGUUACCUUAAACAAAAAUGAGCUCCAGAAAAAAGUAGCUCAGUUACAGAGAAGCAAAUCGAGUUAUUUCCCACAUAAAAAGUUUCCCAGAUUCUAAGAAUUGCAGUAUCCUGUACCCCAAAAUUUUUCAAGGUGACUCCUGUUGUCAUCUGUUGAUAACUUUAAUAAAGGUCAUUUAGGGACAUAAGUUUUUAAAGACUCCCAAAGUGAGACUUAAACAUUUUCGGGAUUAUUGAUUGCAUAUAUCAGUUUAUGUUGUGUGCUGAAUUACUAUGCCAUGUGCUAUUUUAGUGUUUG